GUAAUGGUAAAUAUAACGACUUAUUUUACGAGUCACUUGGAUUAUCAAUAGAUAUGGCCUACUUUACAACAUGCGUGUAUAUAUAUAUUGGUAAACAUUGGGUGAAAGUUAUGUGCAUAGUUAUAAAUGUCAUUUGUUUAUAGGUGGAUAGCAUCAGUGUUUGGUCUUGUGCGUAGUAUACAAGUACUUCAUAGUUCUACGGCGCGGAUCACUGUUCCUUGAACUAAAAAGUUUCUUUCAAGGUACUCCGCAUAUGAAAUGAGUGGGUGGGUCGUCACAUAGGUCCUGGUCGUCUGGAUCUAGGUUAUCGAAACAGUCUUGACAAAGAUGUCCGUUAUCUAAAUGGUAGACAGAACGUAUCAACCGAACACAGAGGCAAGACUGGACAUCCUCCGUCGCUUCCAGAUCAAAUGCGGGUACAAGCCCGUCUGAGUCCUCUAUGUUAGGGUUGAUGAACUCGCCACCUGUUCUGUACAUACAUAUGAGAACAGUUAAUAUAUAUAUUUUAUAAAUUUUAUAGGUUUUGUUCGGACCUAUCCUGUAUGUGGUAUAAUAUAAUAUGUUAUGGUUAUGUUAGUUGUUAUUACAUAUAUUUUCCUUAUCUCUCUCCCUUCUCUUUUUUUUCUUCUUUUUUUUAUAUUUUUUGUUCAGUACCUAGCAUUGCCAUUAUAAUGCUGUAUUACAUUGUAUUGGCUAUUAUAUGUAUUGGGGUGCGUAUGUGUGGGGUGCGCGUGACGAAUUUUCAACAUGGUCGCUUGCGUGUAUCGUUUAUUCUACUCUUUCGAUGCUGCAUCACUUACCUGGAUCGUUCCCGCAACAUCAUCCGAUUCUUUGAUAUGCCUUAAAUACUUACUACGGUUGUCUUCAAUCGUCUUAUAUCUGUGGCCAUAAAGGUACUGUUUAGUUUAUUUAAUUUAAUAUGUGUAUAAUGCAUUGUGCAUGCGACCGCUAUUGUGCAUUACAAAAUCUGUUUCUACAUGUUAGAUAUAAUAAUAUAACAAUACUACGUAGGUUAAUACAGUAUACUAUCCUUUUACUCCGGUUAUAUUUAUUACUAACUCUCAAUUAAUCUAUCUUAAUUAUUUUCUAACCACUUUCUAUACUUAUCAGCUAUUUUAUUUCUUCUUAUUAAUCUGCAAAAUUCAUGCAUGUACACUUCCUUGUAUGGUGAUUGAUUGUUCACGAGAUAAGUUGCACUUUCACUGUUUUAAUUAUUCGUUGAACUAACACGUUUUACAUUCAAACAGUAAUUGGAGCACUCGUAAUAAUCUUCCUUUUCCUUUUAGGUUUCCGCUAUCUGUGUUAUUCGACGAACAGUGUCGCGCUUCCGCAGUAUUGUUAUAACAUUUAGUAACGUUGUAUUUUGCAUUAAGGCAAUUGAAGUUAAUUCGUUCAUUUAUUUUCAGCUGGCUGUUGUACAUGGUGUUCCGCAAACAGGGAUCCAUAACCUAUUUUGCACGUAAACCUUCUUGUAUGAUGAUUACUUGUUCACAAGGUUCUACAAUUCUAAUCCUUCAACGCUGAGUCCUUUACUUGGAACGGUUACAUGGUGCGCGUUUGGUAUCUUCUGGUUCUUCGUUACAUGCCUAACACUUAUCAAGACUACUUUUACUUAUCCUAGAAUUACCGCUUCGUCAACGUUGGAUUAUUUGUUAUGGCGUCACAAAUUUUUCCUUGAUUAUCCAGUUUCCUGUUGUCGUCUCGACUGUUUCGGUAGUAUCUGGUUCAGUAUUCCGUAAGUAUUCACUUAAGAUUGGUAGUAGGCUUCUUGUAACUGCGUCCGCUUUAAUGUAUAUCUUCCGAUGUUAUGAUUGGUUACCUCGGUAUAUAUUACCUUCGAUAUCUUCAUACCGUCGUAUAUUAUGUUUGCAAAGUUGGAUCCAUAGUCCAUUCUCGUGGAGCUUCUGCGUACACACUUCCUUUAACGAUGAUUGGUUGCAUACAAACCUCGUUAACUUAUAAGUAGUAUCGACUGCGAUUCUUCGUACACAUUUACUCCAAUUUGGUAGUUGGUUUCUCAUCACUGCGUUGACUCUUGUAUAAACUUCUUUGAUCUGGCUGUCGUAGAUUAUGUUCUACGGAUAUGGACACAUAACCUGUCUUCGCACAUACACUUCCUUCUAUGAUGAGUAAUUAUUCACGAGGUACUUUUCACUUCCACUGUUUUGUUACCACUAUCUGCAGUAUUCGACAAGCAGUGUUGUUCCAUAUACUACUGUACUACGUUGUCUUUUGAAAUCGUUCUUGUGGUCUGUUUCGAUUGUGUUAGUUUUAACUUGUUCGAGUGUAUUGUUAGUGGAAUCCCUUUUACUUUAAUCUUGACGUUUCGUGUGUGGAUUCUGACAAUAGUGCCUGGUUUAUUGAAGUGUGUUAAUAUGCCUAGGUGUUUUAUAUAUUUUAUAUCUAGUUGUAUAUAAGAUAUAUUUUGUUUAUUGUGGUUUUGUAUGUCCAUAUUUGCUGUAUAUUAAAUUGCUUGAUAUUUCCUGUUUGUUAUAAAGGUGUGUAUUCCUAUCGUUCCAUUCCUUUUUCCUUUCCUUUGAAUUAUUCAUGAAGUUAUUACGAGAUUUGAUUAAAUUGUCGAAUUGUAGGUUAUCCUGAUUGAAUAUAGUAUUAUGUCGUGAUUUAUUAAUUAA